rnacentral:tRNA from 1 species
GGCGCCUUGGCCGAGUGGUUAGGCACGGGUCUGCAAAACCCGGUACGCCGGUUCGACUCCGGCAGGCGCCU